rnacentral:lncRNA from 1 species
UUUUGGUUUUGGUUUUGACCUGGCUUGGGUUUUUGGAUACUCUGAUUUUGGUUUGGUGUAAACUGCAAAAGUGUGUGUGCCCUGUUUUUUUGUUUUGUAGUGCACGUGUGGUGUGAGCGUGGUGUUUUGUCUCGAAGAAGCAUGGGUCAGGCACAAAUAAGCCCACCCCACUAGGAACUAUGUUAAAAAAAAUUUUUUUUCAAGAAAGAAUUUAAGGGAGAUUACGAUGUUACUGUGACACCAGGAAAACUUAGAACUUGUGAAAUAGACUGGCCAGCAUUAGAGGUGGGUUGGCCAUCAGAAGGAAGCCUGGACAGGUCCCUUGUUUCAAAGGUAUGACACAAAGUAACCUGUAAGCCAAGGCAUCCAGACCAGUUUCUGUACAUAGACAGUUACAGCUGGUUUUAGACCCCCUUCCCCCUACAGUAGUUAAGAGAACAGUAGCAUAAGCAUCUGGCAGAGGCAAGGAAAGACCAGCAGAGAGAAAAAAAGGCCAUCUAUACCAAUUCUAAGUUAAUUUAGACUAAACAAGGUCUUAUUAAUAGCAAAGGAUAAUUGAAAUCCCAAACUUACAAGGUUUUCAACAAAAGUGAAGUUUGCUAAAAAUUAACAGUAUAACAUGUAUUAUGGUAACUUCUAAUCUUGUGGCCUUAGACAGUCUAGUCCAAAGACAAAAAAAAAGUUCACUUUAAAAAAAAAAAGCGGGGGAGGCAGAAUUUAUGUAAAAAGAGUGUUAUAUGGUAAAUUCUUGUCCUGAAAUAAAUUAACUGGUUGUUUAAAGAAAAAAAAAUGUUUGUAAUAAGUCAGAAAGUUGAGACAUGUUGAAGAAUUGUCGGCGAAAGUCGUGAAAGAAAAAAUGUUAUAAAAAAAUUUAUGCAAAAAAUAUUGUGUAAUUUAAAAGUAAUAAGGCCUCCUGAGUACUAUUUAAAAAAAAAAACAGUUUAUGUGCAAGGUGUAUAAGAAAAGUAAAAUAUACCUUUGGUAAAAAGAUUAUAAGGAGGCAUAAGAAUGUGGAUUUUUACCUACAUUAAAAGGUUAAAAAAAUUAUUGUUUUGAAAGUGUAAGCAAAUUUUAAAAUGUUAAUUGUAAAGAAAAUUCUGUGUGUAAACAUAUUAGCUAAAGUUAAAAAGGUAUCAUCCAGUUUUUCUGUGAACUGGACAUUAAAGUAAAAAUGUGACAGGUUUUUCUUAAAGCAUCAACCUGCUCUUUAACAAAAAUUAUAAAAGGUUAAAAAGAGUCUAUAAAACCUUACCUUAUGGUCAAACAUGAAAAAUUGGAUAAAUAUGUCUACAAAGUUUUAUUAAAAUUAAGUUUAACAUUAAUAACACACUAAUAUAAAGGUAAAAUUUAGCUUACCUGGUAUAAAAAUCAUACAAGAAGCAUUAUUAAAUAUAAAAUGGUGUUUAGCUUUCUUUGGUCUAAAAACUAAUAAAAAUAGAUGCUAAAGGAAACAUUCAUUUUACUAGAGGAUCAUAGAAGUUAAAGACUUAAAACAAACUUUGGCAGUUAAGACAGCAUACCAAGAUGCAAAUGCCUGGUUGGAAUGGAUUAAAUAUUCCAUCUGCACGUUAAACAAAAUCAAUUGUUAUGCUUGUGCACAUGGCAGGCCAGAGGCCCUGAUUGUCCCUCUUCCACUAAGGUGGUCCUCCAGUCGACCAGGUGUGGGCUGCAUGGUAGCUCUUUUCCAGGAUUCUACAGCCUGGAGUAAUAAGUCAUGCCAAGCUCUCUCUGCUAUAUCCCGAAGUCUCUGUGGGUCAGCCCCCGAGGGCCAUCCAGCUUCCAUCUCCCAACACUAAGUUCACUUCUUGUCUCUCACGGCAGGGAGGAGAUUUAGCAUUCCUUGGAGACCUGAAGGGAUGCAGUGAGCUUAAGAGUUUCCAAGAGCUUAUCAAUCAGUCAGCCCUUGUUCAUCCCCGAGAGGAUGUGUGGUGGUAUCGGGGUGGACCUUUACUGGGCACUCUGCUGAAUAACUAGAGUGGCACUUGUGCUUUAGUCCAUUUGGCUAUCCCUUUCACCCUGGCAUUUCAUCAACCAGAGGAAAAAAAAAGUAAGACAUCAUAAAACGAGAGAAGCCCCUUAUAGGUCUUUCAAUUCUCACAUCUACUUAAAUGCAAUUGGAGCCCCACAAGGAAUACCAGAUCAAUUUAAAGCUUGAAAUCAAAUAGUUACAGGAUUUAAGUCAAUAUUUUAGUAGAUGACAGUCAACAAAAAUGUAGAUUAGAUAAACUACAUCUAUUACAACCAACAGCAAAGAGCUUUUCAUUAGUUAAAAAGAAAAACUCAUGUCGGCCCCAGCCCUGAGGCUACCUGACCUGACAAAACUCUUUACACUCUGUGUGUCAGAAAGAGAAAAAAUGACAGUUGGAGUUUUAACCCAGACUGUAGGGCCCUGGUCAAGGCCAGGGGCCUAUCUCUCAAAACAACUAGACGGGGUUUCCAAAGGCUGGCCCCCAUGUCCAAGGGCCCUGGCAGCAACUGCCCUGUUAGCACAAGAAGCAGAUGAGCUAACUCUUAGGCAAAACCUAAACAGAAAGUCUCCCCAUGCUGUGGUGACUUUAAUAAAUACCAAAGGACAUCAUUAGCUAAUAAAUGCUAGACUAACUAGAUACCAAACCUUGCUCUGUGAAAAUCCCCACAAAACCAUUGAAGUUUCCAACACCCUAACCCAGCCACCUUACUCCUGGUAACAGAGAGCCCAGUUAAACAUAACUGUUUAGAGGUGCUGGACUCAGUUUAUUCUAGUAGGCCUAACCUCCGAGACCACCCUUAAACAUCAGUAGACUGGGAGCUGUACGUGGAUGGGAGCGGCUUUGCCAACCCCUGCAAAGUGACUCUGAAGAAGGAGACAAGCCCUGCUCCAGUCACACCCAGAAGCUGACUGGUCCACGCACAGGCGAAGCAUGAGGAAACUCAUUGCGGGACUCAUUUUCCUUAAAAUUUGGACUUGUACAGUAAGGACUUCAACUGACCUUCCUCAGAUUGAGAACUGUUUCCAGUAUAUACAUCAAGUCACUGAGGUAGGACAAAAAUUGCUACAGUCCUAUUAUUUUAUGGUUAUCAUAAGUGUACCAGGACUCUAAAAGAAACUUGUUUGUAUAAUGCUAUCCAAGGUAUGUAGCCCAGGGAAUAACCAACCUGAUGUGUGUUAUGACCCAUUUUAAGCCUCCCGUGAUCACAGUUUUUAAAAUAAAAUUAAGGACUGGUCCUUUUCUAGGUGACACAAGUAAGGUAAUAGCUAGAAUGGAAAAAAGAGGGGCCCCCAAAAAUGUAACCUUAAAAUUUGGUGCUUGUGCCGCUAUUGAUAGUAAGCAGCAUGGAAUAGGAUGCGGUUCUCUAAAUUGGAAAAAAAAAGUGACACAGUAAAAAAAAAAUAAGUGUAUCUGUCAAGAAUUGUAUUUAUGUGAGAUGUGUCAAUACUGGUCUUGUGUCAUUUGGGCUACUUAAAAAGAAGAUAAAAAAGAUCCUGUUUGGCGGCUUAGUUGUCUUGGGCAAAAACUGUAUAAUGGUACCACAAAAAGUUACAUGGUGGAGUUCCAAUUACACAGAAAGAAAUCCAUUCAGUAAAUUUCCAAAGUUGCAGACUGUUUGGGCCCACCCAGAACUCCACCGGGACUGGACAGCCCCCACCGGGUUAUACGCAGAGCUUAUGCUAAGCUCCCUGAUCAGUGGACAGGUAGCUGUGUAAUUGGCACCAUUAAGCCAUCUUUCUUCUUACUGCCCAUAAAAACAGGUAAACUUCUGGGCUUCCCAGUCUAUGCUUCCUGCGAAAAACGAAGCAUAGCCAUAGGUAAUUGGAAAGAUGAUAAAUGACCUCCUAAAAAAAUUAUAUAAUACUAUAGGCCUGCCACUUAGACACAAGAUGGCUCAUGAGGAUAUCGAACCCCCAUCUACAUGCUCAACCGAAUCAUAUGGUUGCAAGCUGUUUAGAAAUUAUUACUAAUAAAACCCGUCAAACCUUGACUGUUCUUGCCCGGCAAGAGACUCUGAUGAGAAAUGC